GGACAGCGAGCAGGAGGAAGUGUCCCCAGCUGCACGGGGACACUCCCAAUCCCCGCUAAGCUGUGAGGCUGACGGAGGGACACGCAGCGGGAGCCCUGAGACCCGGCCCGGCCAGAGCCCGAGACCCGAAGUCAGGAACCAGCGCGCCUACAAAACCCGGCUCCGGAUCUUCCUGGGACUCAGUCUGAUUCGUGACCCUCGGCCGCUGGCAGGUUCCAGGGAGUGGAUACGACACCUGGGAUGCCCCCCACUUGCUGGCGCCCCUGCUCCCCUCCACCAAGGGAAAACUCACUUGGCAUUGCUGGGCAGUCUUCUGAGGGAGAGAGCUGAGGCCCACUGCGGGCCUCGUGGGAAGGAGCCUCGCCAGAAGGUUUCACAGACCUUGUGUCGCCUCCAGAGAAGGAGGCCAGAAUGGAAAUCUCAGCCCAUGAAGUCCUGUCAACCCCACUGGCCGCAGCUACGUCAAUUUCUGCAAGGUCACCAUUUAACAUUUUUUAAUUAAACUGGGAAAUUUAAAAGAUUUUUUUUUUUUUUUUAAAGAGGAAGGGGAAAGAUGCUCAGUGCUAUUUCUUUAUCAGCAGCUGCAUGAGGAACCUUCCCUCAGAAACCUAUGGACGCGUUCACGCCACCCUCGUGAUGGCAGGGACAAGUCUCGUUCUCAAAGGCAGGCCCAAGCACAGCCCUGGCCCUCCCCUCCCCUCCCCCACGCUGGUCUCCCCAGCUCUUCUCCCUGUGCCUCAGCCCCCCUCCAUCCCUUCCCUCCAUUAAAGUCUCUUAUAAUUGGUUCAAAUAAGUAAGCGUCCUGAAUGGGUUCACUGCAUCCCCUCAGAAUCCCAGGGCCAGGAAGGCCUCCAACUUCCUGUUGCAAGAAUUAGGUCAUUAAAUCAAUGGGGUCGCCUGCCGGGCGAGGGCUUGGUCCCCUGGUUGUGUCCCCAGAGGCAGCAGGCUGGCCGCCUCCUGGCCUCCAGAGCCAGCAGGCCCUCACGGACCCAGCUCUAGGGAGGACUGUCUUUAGGAUCUGGCUGGGAGGCUCGGUCAGAAGCAGGGUCUCCUGGGUGAAUAUCCUUCCCAUAGACUCUUAUGAAAAUAAGUUGUAAGGG